rnacentral:rRNA from 1 species
UACGAAGGGGGCUAGCGUUGUUCGGAAUUACUGGGCGUAAAGCGCGCGCAGGCGGUCUUCCAAGUCAGUGGUGAAAGCCCGGAGCUCAACUCCGGAACUGCCAUUGAAACUGUAAGACUUGAGGACGAGAGAGGUGAGUGGAAUUCCCAGUGUAGAGGUGAAAUUCGUAGAUAUUCGGAAGAACACCAGUGGCGAAGGCGACUUACUGGACACAUAUUGACGUUGAGGUGCGAAAGCGUGGGGAGCAAACAGG